CUCUGUCCCACUGCAUUGAGAACCACCUGAGCCACCUCGGCCGCCGUCUGUCCCUGGGCCGUGGUCUUGUCCAUAACUGCCAAGGGAAAGCCCAGUGAGCACCAGUAUCAGCAGACAGGAACUGGGCAGAUUAUCCAUCUCUGCCUGAGGGCUGCAGCAAGCCAAGAACCCAGUCAGCAGCAGCAACCUGCUUUGGCAGCUUCCAGGCUGGAGUUUGAAUCAACAGGUUCCUUUGCUAUUCUGAGCAUCGUGGUGACACGGAGAAGAUGUGCCACCCAUUCUGCAGCCCCUGUUCCAGCAGUAAUGAUCUCCAGAUGAAGGACAGGAAGAAGCUGGAAAUAGUAAUAUCAGAAAUAGUCCCCGGAGGGGCUGUCAGCCCUCGAGUCCCACCUCCAGUGGCAUUCUGAGUUCAUGCUGUGAGUAAAACUCCCAAAUUUCUCACCAAGCCUGCAGUGAACUUGGUGGGGAUUUUGCAAGCCUAAGCCCUGGGGGGUUUGAUGCCAUCUCUGUCUGUUUUAUUUGCAAGACUGAGCUCAGAGCAAGAUUUUAUGAAGUGUGCAUUUCUAUCUCAAAUUUUAGACAGCGUUAACUAGAAACCCACAUACUCUGGAUUUGACAGAAAUCAUCUCUGGCUGCAGAGAUUUGCUGCAGAGCCGAAGAUUUUCUUUAAUACUAAAUAAAAUAACCCCAGAGACAACCUUGAGAAGUCAAGUCUG